rnacentral:rRNA from 1 species
AUGACGCAUACAUCGGUCAGGUGCUCCUACCUCGCCUGCUUCCCCGUCGGUCAUCGCUCCUCCACUCGCGAGCACCUCCACACGGCCACGGCUGUCUCCAUCCGCGCGUCCAGCCUGCGCCUCGCCCGGCCACCUGCCGGCUCCGCGCGCAUCAGCUGCUCGCUGGGUUCGACCCGGACGCCCCUGGCUUCGCCUGCGCACCAAGCCGCGCUCGCGCCGCUCCCGCGCUCGUCCGCCGGGUCGCCGCGAGCUGGCCUCCCCGGCCGCUGUCUCUCGCGCUCGGCCUGCUCCGACCUGGCCGCUGGCUCCCACGCCCCGUGUGGCCCCGCGCCCUGCUCGUCUACACCCGGCCGGCCCUUCCCGGCUUCGCUCGCACCCGGCCGCCGAGUCGCCGACGCCCCCGCCUCCGGCUCCUCGCGUCGGCCCGGGCGCCCUGCGCCAUCCGGCGUCUGCCUCCUCCGCGAACCCGGCCCCGGCCGGCUCCCGCUCCGCCCACGCCACGGCCGGCUCCGUCUCCAGCUGGCUCCACCUUUGUCCGGCUCCCCUUCGCCGUCCCACGCACCUGAGCCCGACGCACCGGCCGUCUCCAACCACUACACUGCACGCAGUCACGCACGGAUGCCCUCGGCUCCUCGGCGCCGUCCCCACCUGCAGUGCCAGCCUCGGCACCUCCCGCGCGUGCGCCGCUCCGCUACAUGGCCUCCUCCGACUAGCUCUGCCUCCGCCGGGCUACACCGUCCGCCUGCGCUCGGCCCUCACUCGCCCGUGCUCGUCCCGCUACUGCGUUGGGUUGCCAGCCAGGCCACCUCCCAGCCGGCGUCCGCCGUCUCCGCCCCGCCGGGCCGCCUUCGCCCUCGGCCUCGGCCGUCUCCAGGUCCAGGACCGCGCCGGCUGCGCCACGCCCAGCCUCCGAAGCCCCUGACCGAGUCGCCCUCCGGCUUCCCCUGCUCCCCACCCGGACGCCGACUCCUGCACCCGCCUGCUCCACGCUCCGGCCGCCGACUCCUCCGGCCGGCCGGCUGCUCCACUGACCGUGGUCGGGUCCUCCACACAGGACGGCUCCCGACCCGGCCGCUUGGUGGUGUCGCGCGCGCCCACCUGCCGGCUGCCGCCUCGGCCUCGCCCGGUUGCUCGCUCCUCUGGAGCCGGCUGCCCUGA